rnacentral:tRNA from 1 species
GGGGAUUUAGCUCAAUGGUAUAAGCACCUGCCUGGCAAGCAUGGAGUCGUGAGUUCAAUCCCUG